CCUACGGGAGACAGCAGUGAGGAAUAUUGGUCAAUGGCCGGAAGGCUGAACCAGCCAAGCCGCGUGAAGGACGAAGGUGCCAAGCAUUGUAAACUUCUUUUGUCAAGGGACAAAAUCAGGCUCGAGAGCCUGACCGAGGGUACUUGAAGAAAAAGCAUCGGCUAACUCCGUGCCAGCAGCCGCGGUAAGACGGAGGAUGCGAGCGUUAUCCGGAUUUAUUGGUUUUAAAGGGUGCGUAGGCGGACUGUUAAGUCAGCGGUAAAAGCCCGGGGCUCAACCCCGGCGAGCCGUUGAAACUGGCUGUCUUGAGAUGUCGAGAGGUAUGCGGAAUGCGCAGUGUAGCGGUGAAAUGCUUAGCUAUUGCGCAGAACUCCGAUUGCGAAGGCAGCAUACCGGCGGCGAUCUGACGCUGAGGCACGAAAGCGUGGGUAUCGAACAGGAUUAGAUACCCGAGUAGUC
rnacentral:rRNA from 1 species